UACGGAGGGUGCAAGCGUUAUCCGGAUUCACUGGGUUUAAAGGGUGCGUAGGUGGGUUGGUAAGUCAGUGGUGAAAUCUCCAGGCUCAACUUGGAAACUGCCAUUGAUACUAUUAAUCUUGAAUACCGUGGAGGUCAGCGGAAUAUGUCAUGUAGCGGUGAAAUGCUUAGAUAUGACAUAGAACACCAAUUGCGAAGGCAGCUGGCUACACGAAUAUUG
rnacentral:rRNA from 1 species